rnacentral:sRNA from 1 species
UGUCUUUACAGGUGCUGGGCUGUGCUGUGGAGCUCCCUGAUGUCAGCUGCAAGCGGUUUCUGGAUCAGCUAAUUGGAUUCUUUAAUUUUUACAAUGGACCUGUUUCCCUAGCUUAUGGGAAUUGUUCUCAGGAAGAACUGAGCACGGAGUGGGACACCUUCAUCGAACAAAUUCUGAAAAACACCAGUGAUCUGCAUAAGAUUUUCAAUUCCCUCUGGAACUUGGACCAAACUAAAGUGGAGCCCCUGUUGUUGCUGAAGGCAGCCCGCAUUCUGCAGACCUGCCAGCGCUCGCCUCACAUUCUUGCUGGCUGCAUCCUCUAUAAAGGACUGAUUGUCAGCACCCAGCUCCCGCCCUCCCUCACCGCCAAGGUCCUGCUUCACCGAACAGCACCUCAGGAGCAGUACCACAGCAGCCUGGCGUCGCUGAAUGGGCUGGAAGUCCACCUGAAAGAGACGCUGCCCAGGGAUGAGGCAGCCUCCACAAGCAGCACCUACAACUUCACACAUUACGACCGCAUUCAGAGCUUGCUGAUGGCAAACCUGCCGCAGGUGGCCACCCCGCAGGAUCGCCGCUUCCUCCAGGCCGUCAGCCUGAUGCAUAGCGAAUUUGCCCAGCUGCCCGCGCUUUAUGAAAUGACUGUCAGGCUUCUUGUCACUUCAUGUCACACCCACUCCUGUCCUUCACUCCCCCUUAGUCUAUCCAGCCACCCCCAGUGUGGAGAGCAGACUAGAUUCCUUUCUCGGACACUGUCAUUGCGUCGUCAUAGAGGCAGGGCAGCCCCAGCUACUCACUCUGAGCCUCAGGGUCCUCGUCUGUGAAAUGGGACCAUACCACCACUGCAGAGCUCAUGUGAGGGGCAAAGCAGAGACUGUAUGCAGAGCACAUUGCAUAGCUGCCAGUAUAUCAAGAAAGCCGGCACUCCACAGUUCCUUUAUGCAGUACUUAUAACUCCAGGCUCUGUGGCUGCUG